GAACGGCUUCUUUUUGCCGCCGGCCCUAAGCUGUCGGCUAUAGGUGCGUCCUGCUGGCGGGGAUGAAACGUUUGCCGCCGAUUACGUCACUCCAAUUUCUUGCGAGAUUUCUUGACUGCUUCAUUUUCUCUGGCGGUUGCCUGGGUCUAAAGCACCGCGGUCGUCCGGCAGCAAGACGUUUUUAAAUACAAGGCUACUCUCAAAAUCGACCGGCCAUGUUGGUUUGGACACACAUUCGCAUCAGUUCGUUGCUCAAUCGCGAGUUACAGCCUGCAGUUUGCUAGCUAGCAAAGUCAUCGACUACCAUCGUUUAAUACACACUGUGGCUAGCAAGUUUUGUGCUGUGUUGCUACUGUACUGGAUUUAAGAUACCUUGGCCAGAGCAUAACCGGUUAUCUUCACCCAAGAGACCUACUGUUGGUCAAUCGUUUUGGUUUUAAAGAAGUUGCAUCGAUUCCAGAAAACCAGAAAAAUGAUGAGCCAUCUGUAGACUUCAGAGCUGAACCAGUUUUCUCCCUAGAGUUUGAGUACAACUCGUCAAGUACUAAGCUUUACACCACCAGCAGCAAAUUUACCCUGGCAGCAUAUGGGUGAAAACUCUGGAGGAGAAAGUCAUCGCUUUGUUAUUGGCCCUUGGACGCCCCUGGCAUCUCGUGUACAGCACAAAGUUUUCAGCUAUGAAGAUUUCCAGUGACUCCAGAAUGAAAACCAAGCUCUGAGGGAGGAGAACCAAGCCCUGAGGGAAUGCAAUGCACAAGCAGGUGAGAAUGUGCACUCUCUUAAAUUUUAGUUCAGAAUUACCAUAUGCCUUUGAUUUUGUAGCUUCGGGUUGACAGCGGCUCACUUCAAGAACAGGUGAAGCAAGUAGGGACAAUGUUGAAGACGUUUGCUCUCACUGGGCAAUCAGGUGCGUUACCUGAAAGGAGCAUCUGAUCGUGAAGGCAGAAAAAGCCGCACAGCUGAGAAGGACCCACGGCCGACCCCUUAAACAUAGGCUGACUACUGACACCCCACCAUCACUGAACUGGAACACUUUCUUUAUCCUGCAUUCAGUAACAUCAAGAAGCUAGAAGUGCCAGACUACACUCACCAAAUCCACCCUGUUUUUUUUUUUGUAUUUUAACUUUAGUAUUGG
ensembl:lncRNA